AGAAACUUGCUUUAUGAAUGUACUGGUUGAGCAGUUUAUCUUUUGCUUAUAGGAAACAACCUAGAGUAUGCAAAAGUCGAAACAGUAUUAUCAAUCGACUCCAUAAAGAAUCUGAAUUUUAUCUGGUGUUAGUCUUGGUUCACUCCAGUAUGGAAGAGAUUAUGAAUUUGAUGCUCCAGUCAAAUUAUUGGACAAACUUUUACAUGCAAUGGCACACACUCUGUAGAUGAACAGCUUGUCGUCGUGUCUCAGGUGUUCUUGCCCCUCUUAACAUCUCUCCUUUCGGGUCCAUUAUAUUAUGCAAGUACUACUAAUCGAGAACCUAUUUCAUGGAGUAAUUUUCUUGCCAAAUAUUAUCUAGGAGCUAGAAGCUAAUAUCAAUGUUGGAUACGAGGGAGGAGAUAGUCAAUGUACUCAGGUUCUGGCAUUCAAUGGCAAUCCUGUCAAGAAUCUGAAGAGCUUGGCUAACUGCAGAUAGUGAUUCUACAGACUGAAACUGCAAAGGCAUCAAACCUUCAACAUCCUCCAAACAUACUGAGUAACUUCAGCGAUGCCCAAGAUAUCUUAAUACAUGAAGUUGUUCCGCUAGUCAAGGUGCAGAAUGUUUUACCCUUGUGUUUUCGCGAGUUGCUACCUUAAAAUUUCUUCUUUCGAAUCCCCGUAGAUGAGGUUUUAGGAUUUGCAUUUUUGUCCACAUACAUGCCUUAAAAAUGCUUUAUUUUAGUGACAUCUUCUUGUAAAAUUAGGCAGCGCUAUUUCGUUUAAUAUUAUCAAGCUUACCAUUAUGAAGCAUAGUUUUAAUUA